rnacentral:rRNA from 1 species
GCCUGCAUGAAGUCGGAAUUGCUAGUAAUCGCGGAUCAGCAUGCCGCGGUGAAUACGUUCUCGGGCCUUGUACACACCGCCCGUCACACCAUGGGAGUCGGUAACACCCGAAGUCUGUAGCCUGACGCAAGAGGGCGCAGCCGAAGGUGGGAUUGAUGACUGGGGUGAAGUCGUAACAAGGUACC